rnacentral:rRNA from 1 species
AGAGUUAAAAGUACGUGAAAUUGCUAAAAGGGAAACAUUUGACACCAGUAUUUGGGAGUCGGAAAUCAGCCUCGGUAUACUGGGGUGCACUUUCCGGCUACCAGGUCAACAUCAGUUUCGUCUGCCGUAAAAAAGCCAAGAGAAGGUAGGUGUUAAUUCACUGUUAUAGCUCUGGCCGAUGCGGUGGAUGGGACUGAGGACUGCGGUGCAUGCCUUUGGCUGGGUUCGCGGCAGCUGUGUGGGACGGGGCUAUGGACAGCUUGCUGUGUUUGUUGAUUAGUAUGAUUCAUCACUGCUUACUACUAGUCAGUUAGAGAUGUUGACCGAAUGUUUUCAAUCGUCC